UACAGAGGUGGCAAGCGUUGUUCGGAAUUACUGGGCGUAAAGAGCUCGUAGGCGGUCUGUCGCGUCGGCUGUGAAAUCCCGAGGCUCAACCUCGGGCCUGCAGUCGAUACGGGCAAACUGGAGUGUUGCAGGGGAGACUGGAAUUCCUGGUGUAGCGGUGAAAUGCGCAGAUAUCAGGAGGAACACCGGUGGCGAAGGCGGGUCUCUGGGCAACAACUGACGCUGAGGAGCGAAAGCGUGGGGAGCGAACAGG
rnacentral:rRNA from 1 species